GACGGAGGGUGCAAGCGUUGUUCGGAUUGACUGGGCGUAAAGGGCGUGUAGGCGGUUGGUCAAGUCCGAUGUGAAAGCCCGGAGCUCAGCUCCGGAAGUGCAUCGGAAACUAGCCAGCUGGAGCGCGAUAGAGGAGGGUGGAAUUCCUGGUGUAGCGGUGAAAUGCGUAGAUAUCAGGAGGAACACCGGCGGCGAAGGCGGCCCUCUGGAUCGUUGCUGACGCUGAGACGCGAAAGCGUGGGGAGCAAACAGG
rnacentral:rRNA from 1 species